rnacentral:rRNA from 1 species
GAUGAACGCUGGCGGCGUGCCUAACACAUGCAAGUCGAGCGAGAACCGCUGGAAUGACACUUCGGUAGAAUGAAAGCGGGGAAAGCGGCGGACGGGUGAGUAACGCGUAGGUAACCUGCCCCAUACACAGGGAUAGCCUAGGGAAACCUGGAUUAAUACCUGAUGAAGCAACUGGUCGCAUGACCGGCUGCCAAAGAUUUAUCGGUAUGGGAUGGACCUGCGUCUGAUUAGUGAGUUGGUGGGGUAAUGGCCUACCAAAGCGACGAUCAGUAGCCGACCUGAGAGGGUGAUCGGCCACAUUGGAACUGAGACACGGUCCAAACUCCUGCGGGAGGCAGCAGUGGGGGAUAUUGCACAAUGGGCGGAAGCCUGAUGCAGCAACGCCGCGUGAGCGAAGAAGGUCUUCGGAUCGUAAAGCUCUGUCCUGGGGAAGAACAAAUGACGGUACCCCGGGAGGAAGCCCCGGCUAACUACGUGCCAGCAGCCGCGGUAAA